rnacentral:rRNA from 2 species
CCUGGCGACAAUAGCGCGGCUGUCCCACCUGACCCCAUGCCGAACUCAGAAGUGAAACGUCGUAGCGCCGAUGGUAGUGUGGGGUCUCCCCAUGUGAGAGUAGGGAAUCGCCAGGC